UUCGCUGCCUCCUCCCCAAUCGAUCUCUCUCUCUCCCGCACAUCUCUCUCGUCCGCCGCCGCCACAAGCCAUCCUCCCCGUCCUCUCACCUCCUCCGUCCACUCCCUCCUCCCUCCUCCCUCCUCCUCAGAUCCCCUUCUCCGGGGUUGGGGAAGCGAUGGCGGCGACAGACACAUCUCCUUCCCGUCCGCCGCAGCGAAGAGCCGACGACCACGAGCUUCCGCGUCGGGCCGUCGCGAUUCGCAUCUCCUCCCCGCUGUUUUCCCGCGCCGGCCGCCGCAUCUACUUUCCCGCCAGGGCUGCCUUCUUACCAUCCACGAUAGUCACGAGCCGACGACCGCAUCUCACCUUGCUCGACGUCCACCGCAGAGGACCGGUAGCUGUUGACCUACUGCCUACCCGUCCGCCACAAGUGCAAGAAGAAGCAGGAGCAAAGCAAAGGCAGGAUUCCAUGGUGAGUUUGGAGUUUACCCUCUGUCCCUGGAAAUUGAAAUUGGCUCUCAUGCGAGCGUCCACCUUUUCUUAGCCAUGGAAUACAAAGGAAGCUACCGAAAUGUGAUAGAUCCUACUCUUCAGUGGCUUAAAUUUGAAGAUGUAGUGGCCGAACAAGACUAGGAUCAUGUUUAUGAUGCAUUUUCCAUCGAUACAGAGUGGUGUGCCUCUCCAAGCCACUCUGCUUUCCAUCAACGCCGACAACCACAACAGGGGUGGAUCCAGCCGACAAGAGGUAGAGCGGCGGUCAAUGGUGGGGGGCUGCUACCAGGCUGCAGGUUGCUAGAGUUGUUCAAGCAGGCACGUGCGUUCUACUUUUGGUAAAUUUGUUUAGUUUGAGUCGGUACCAUAACAAAGCUAGGUUCUGUAACUUAUUUUUUUUGCAUUUUUACAUACGGCUGAAUCAAAUGCUCAAGUUAGUGUGUAUUGGUUAACAAUGGAGGGUUGUUGUGGUGCCUGUUGGGCCUUUGGUGUUGUGGAGUGUCUGCAAGAUUGUCUCUGCAUUCCUCACGACAUGAACAUUUCACUUUCUAUCAAUAAGCAUUCUUCUUCAUGCUAACUUGGUGUAAGGUAGCCUUGAUGAUGUGUUGAGGCGGUAUGCUCAGUGACUGUUAGUAAGGUUGAUCAUAGGCAAGCAAAAGUGCUUUGUGGAUACUUGCAUAACCAAGGAAGAACUUUGUUAUUUGAAGUAUGCACUAGAGAUAUUGCAAGACUUACGCCUUCGACCUGCUUGACCAAGCAGCAAAAAGAUGAACCAAACCCAAUGUGACUCAACAUGUUGGGCUUUUUUAGUGGAGCAGAAUGACGAGGCUUCUGAGAAUCAGAGUUGGACCUUGGCAGCCGCCGCUCCUCGGCAAUCAGCAGGAGGUACAACUGCCGCAACCACUUCUUGGCAGAGAAGCAGGCCAGCGACGAGGAGGCUCACCACAAACAUGUUGUUGAUGGACAAUCGGGGCAGCCUUGAUGGUGAUAUACCAGCCUGCGCCCCUGGCUGCCAGGACACAUGAAGGAACCAGCAGCAGCCUCCAGUAGGACAAACCGGGACGAGGACGGGGAUGGAGAAUGCGGCAUCCAUCUCGCGGAUCUGGGCCAUGGCGCCCGUAGCGGUGCUUCCAAAAUCGGGCCGUUGUCAAGUGCUUCUUCGACCUAGAAGAUAAGAUUACAAAUCCUGUGUCUUCGUUUAUAUAGAAUCUUAUGUGUUUCGUGAUAAUUCACAAGAUUCUCUUAAUGAACAUUUUGAGUAUAGUCUCUUAAACAAUCUGGUUAGAAGAAAACAGGGAGAAAACACGUGUAGUUAAAUAUGAAUGCAUAUAUUAUUUCGAGGUAAAUUUCAAUGCAUAUACCGGCUCUUAAGGAGUAUUACAUGGUUUUUAUUUUCGCAAUUGGAUGGAAGUGUUGGUUCUUUCCAAGUCUUUGGAAUAACAAUUGUACAACACCAUCUGGACUAUCUAUCUUUCUAUGGUGGUGAACUAUAACCUGCUUUUUGGUUUGGAUCUGAGCGCUGGACCAUUGCGCUGGACAGGGCACCACGCCCCAAGACCGCCUUUUGGAAUUCCACUAUACUUGAAGAAAGAAG